CCCUAGCCUUGAUUGCAGCGGGCAUCCUUUUGGGUGGAGGCCGGAGCAUAAACUGAAGGUUUACGAACCUAGUUCAGGAGACCGUCACCCAAAAGAUACAGCGGAAAGCAAGAUCAAGC
rnacentral:sRNA from 1 species